CGCAGCCGCGGUAAUUCCAGCUCCAAUAGCGUAUAUUAAAGUUGUUGCAGUUAAAAAGCUCGUAGUUGAAUUUUAGAUCUGACCAAACGGUCCACUUUUUGUGAGUACUGUUUUGUGUCGGGUCUAUCCUUCUGGUGAGCUGGUAUGCCCUUUACUGGGUGUGCCAGGGAACCAGGACCAUUACCUUGAAAAAAUUAGAGUGUUUAAAGCGGGCAUAAGCUUGAAUAGAUUAGCAUGGAAUAAUAGAAUAGGACGUUGUGGUUCUAUUUUGUUGGUUUCUAGGACCACCGUAAUGAUUAAUAGGGAUAGUUGGGGGCAUUAGUAUUCAAUUGUCAGAGGUGAAAUUCUUGGAUUUAUUGAAGACUAACUAUUGCGAAAGCAUUUGCCAAGGAUGUUUUCAUUAAUCAAGAACGAAAGUUAGGGGAUCGAAGACGAUCAGAUACCGUCGUAGUCUUAACCAUAA
rnacentral:rRNA from 1 species